rnacentral:rRNA from 1 species
UACGGAGGAGGCAAGCGUUAUCCGGAAUUAUUGGGCGUAAAGAGUCCGUAGGUGGGUCACCCAGUCAGUUGUUAAAUAGUGAAGCUUAACUUCAUAGAGGCUACUGAAACUGUUGGUCUAGAGUGUGGUAGGGGAAGAGGGAAUUUCCAGUGUAGCGGUGAAAUGCGUAGAUAUUGGAAAGAACACCGGUGGCGAAAGCGCUCUACUGGGCCUGCACUGACACUGAGGUACGAAAGCUAGGGGAGCGAAAAGG